rnacentral:lncRNA from 1 species
GUUCAUUAUCAAAUGAAAACAAAAGCGUGCACAGGCAAUGAUGAACAAAGGAGUAGGUCCGGUAAGGGUCGAUUUUGGCCUCAAAUUUCAGGUUCAUCUAACGAAAGAUUUUGGAUUCUUUUUAAACACUUAAGUGUCUAUUUCAUUUGAUCCAACAAGUUAAUGUGAAAGAUUUUAACUGAUUUAGUCAUUAAAAACGCGCCGA